UCGUGCUAAGGAUUCAUUACGAACCCGCGUUGCAGGUGCUCUUAGAACUUCUCGUUGGACUUGCUCUUAUUUGCAAGAAAAAAAACUAAAUUAUCGAUGUAAACCGGUUUGCCGGUUCAAAGACAAGUCAGAGAAAAUGUAGUUUGGGUAAUAAUAGUAUAGGCCGGACCAGGGGUUGAAGAUUAUAAAGCUUGCUUUAAUCCCAAAUUACGGGCAUAUAUAUACCGUCGCUAGGGUUUCCUUCCAGCACAAAAGUGUUGCUAUGCGGAAACCAGUCGGUAAUUGUUUUGUUCUCAGUAGGAGUUUAAGUAAUUCGCGUAAGGCAGUGUUGUUUCCUCCUCCUUGUCGCUCGAGCCGGCGCAAUGAUCCUGCCAAGUUGAAGAGAAGGCUCCUCAAGUGGUCUGAUGUUACCACAACCAACACCACAAUGCCUAAGUCGUCUUCAUCAAGUACAAGUAAGCAGCAGCUCGGAUCAUCUUCAAAAGAAGAAGAUGCUCGUAAUGAUGAAGCCCAAAGCGAAAUCCCCACCUAAGUUGUUGUUGUUGUUUUACCUAAACUUUCUUUGCUCAGUACUGUUGUUUUUUAUGUUAUAUAUGUGUGGGUUGGAAAAAUCUCACCCACUGUCACAACAAUAAGCUGCACUUCGGAGAUGAUUCCAGCAUCAUUGAGGAUGACUGUGCCAUGAUCUUACCCACUGUCAUCAAAUUUGAACGUCAGGUAACUACAAACUCACACACAAUGUGCACAUGUAUCACCAAAACUAAACCAGUUAGGACAGAGACUAGACCAUAAAACUUGAACCAACUGUUUCACAGUAACAAUGCUCACAUAUGUCAUCAUUACACCCACUCCCCACAAUUUUUCUGUGCUACUUUGAAUUUUAAAACAGCUGUACAAAGCUCGGGAAGAGAAGUACUUGCUGGAUAUACAAAGAGUUAACGGUCCUCAGUUUCUCUUCUUGGAUCUAUGCGCAGCCUUUCUUACCGAGCUCCGUGUGAUCUGAGAGCUUUUAACCAUUUGUUAAAGACAUUUGUUUCCACGGUUUGUAAUAGUAGAGAAGAUAGUGUAAGAUGUGGGUGCAGUGUUUACUUUGCCGGGUUACUAUUAUAUACAUGGAUUCAAGUUAAACUCUACUGUAAUAGUAACUAUCUUUUUUUCCAUUUUUGAUGGUUUCUAA